UGAUCCGGGUUGCGGACAGUGUCUGGUGGGUAGUUUGACUGGGGCGGUCUCCUCCUAAAGAGUAACGGAGGAGCACGAAGGUUGGCUAAUCCUGGUCGGACAUCAGGAGGUUAGUGCAAUGGCAUAAGCCAGCUUGACUGCGAGCGUGACGGCGCGAGCAGGUGCGAAAGCAGGUCAUAGUGAUCCGGUGGUUCUGAAUGGAAGGGCCAUCGCUCAACGGAUAAAAGGUACUCCGGGGAUAACAGGCUGAUACCGCCCAAGAGUUCAUAUCGACGGCGGUGUUUGGCACCUCGAUGUCGGCUCAUCACAUCCUGGGGCUGAAGUAGGUCCCAAGGGUAUGGCUGUUCGCCAUUUAAAGUGGUACGCGAGCUGGGUUUAGAACGUCGUGAGACAGUUCGGUCCCUAUCUGCCGUGGGCGCUGGAGAACUGAGGGGGGCUGCUCCUAGUACGAGAGGACCGGAGUGGACGCAUCACUGGUGUUCGGGUUGUCAUGCCAAUGGCACUGCCCGGUAGCUAAAUGCGGAAGAGAUAAGUGCUGAAAGCAUCUAAGCACGAAACUUGCCCCGAGAUGAGUUCUCCCUGAGACUUAGAGUCUCCUGAAGGAACGUUGAAGACGACGACGUUGAUAGGCCGGGUGUGUAAGCGCAGCGAUGCGUUGAGCUAACCGGUACUAAUGAACCGUGAGGCUUAACCUUACA
rnacentral:rRNA from 1 species